rnacentral:rRNA from 1 species
AUUGAACGCUGGCGGCAGGCCUAACACAUGCAAGUCGAACGAGUAGCGGACUGGUGAGUAAUGUCUGGGAACCUGCCUGAUGGACCCGGAUAACUACUGUAACCCUUAGCUACUACCGCUUCCCAUCCUAUGGGCCGAGAUGGGAUUAGCUAGUAGGUGUGGUAAAGGCUCACCUAGGCGACGAUCCCUAGCUGGUCUGCGAGGCUGACCAGACACACUGGAACUGAGACACGGUCCAGACUCCUACGGGAGGCAGCAGUGGGGAAUAUUGCACAAUGGGCGCAAGCCUGAUGCAGCCAUGCCGCGUGUAUGAAGAAGGCAUGCGGGUUGUAAAGUAAUGGUAGCGGGGAGGCGUUACCCGCAGAAGAAGCACCGGCUAACUCCGUGCCAGCAGCCGCGGUAAUUC